rnacentral:rRNA from 1 species
AGUGAACGCUGGCGGUAGGCCUAACACAUGCAAGUCGAACGGCAGCACAGUAAGAGCUUGCUCUUACGGGUGGCGAGUGGCGGACGGGUGAGGAAUACAUCGGAAUCUACUUUUUCGUGGGGGAUAACGUAGGGAAACUUACGCUAAUACCGCAUACGACCUACGGGUGAAAGCAGGGGAUCUUCGGACCUUGCGCGAUUGAAUGAGCCGAUGUCGGAUUAGCUAGUUGGCGGGUUAAAGGCCCACCAAGGCGACGAUCCGUAGCUGGUCUGAGAGGAUGAUCAGCCACACUGGAACUGCGCCACGGUCCAGACUCCUACGGGAGGCAGCAGUGUGGAAUAUUGGACAAUGGGCGCAAGCCUGGUCCAGCCAUACCGCGUGGGUGAAGAAGGCCUUCUGGUUGUAAAGCCCUUUUGUUGGGAAAGAAAAGCAGCAGGUUAAUACCCCGCUGUUCUGACGGUACCCAAAGAAUAAGCACCGGCUAACUUCGUG